rnacentral:rRNA from 1 species
GAUCAUGGCUCAGGACGAACGCUGGCGGCGUGCCUAAUACAUGCAAGUAGAACGCUGAAGAGAGGAGCUUGCUCUUCUUGGAUGAGUUGCGAACGGGUGAGUAACGCGUAGGUAACCUGCCUUGUAGCGGGGGAUAACUAUUGGAAACGGUAGCUAAUACCGCAUAACGUCGCAAGACCAAAGAGGGGGGACCUUCGGGCCUCUUGCCAUCGGAUGUGCCCAGAUGGGAUUAGCUAGUAGGUGGGGUAACGGG